UACGAAGGGGGCUAGCGUUGUUCGGAAUCACUGGGCGUAAAGCGCACGCAGGCGGAUUGAUAAGUCAGGGGUGAAAUCCCGGAGCUCAACUUCGGAAUUGCCUUUGAUACUGUCUAUCUUCGAGUUCGGGAGAGGUUGGCGGAAUUCCUAGUGUAGAGGUGAAAUUCGUAGAUAUUAGGAAGAACACCAGUGGCGAAGGCGGCAAACUGGCCCGAUACUGACGCUCAGGUGCGAAAGCGUGGGGAGCAAACAGG
rnacentral:rRNA from 1 species